AGAGUUUGAUCCUGGCUCAGAACGAACGCUGGCGGCGUGCCUAACACAUGCAAGUCGAGCGCGAAUGGAGCAAUCCUAGUAGAGCGGCGCACGGGUGCGUAACACGUGGAUAAUCUGCCUGGGUGUCUGGGAUAACCAGUCGAAAGAUUGGCUAAUACCGGAUAAGCCCCCGGGAGCUUCGGCUCUUGAGGGAAAAGGUGGCCUCUGUAUACAAGCUAUCACAUCCAGAUGAGUCCGCGGCCCAUCAGCUAGUUGGCGGGGUAAUGGCCCACCAAGGCAACGACGGGUAGCUGGUCUGAGAGGACGAUCAGCCACACUGGAACUGAGACACGGUCCAGACUCCUACGGGAGGCAGCAGUGGGGAAUUUUGCGCAAUGGGCGAAAGCCUGACGCAGCAACGCCGCGUGUGUGAUGAAGGUCUUUGGAUUGUAAAGCACUUUCGACCGGGACGAAAACCCCUGGGCUAAUACUCCAGGGCUUGACGGUACCGGGAGAAGAAGCACCGGCUAACUCUGUGCCAGCAGCCGCGGUAAUACAGAGGGUGCAAGCGUUGUUCGGAAUUAUUGGGCGUAAAGCGCGUGUAGGCGGCUUUGCAAGUCGGAUGUGAAAGCCCUCGGCUCAACCGAGGAAGUGCGUUCGAAACUGCAGAGCUUGAGUACCGGAGAGGGUGGCGGAAUUCCCCAAGUAGAGGUGAAAUUCGUAGAUAUGGGGAGGAACACCGGUGGCGAAGGCGGCCACCUGGACGGUCACUGACGCUGAGNNGCGAAAGCGUGGGUAGCAAACAGGAUUAGAUACCCUAGUAGUCC
rnacentral:rRNA from 1 species